AUUGAACGCUGGCGGCAUACCUUACACAUGCAAGUCGAACGGCAGCGGGGGAGAAGCUUGCUUUUCCUGCCGGCGAGUGGCGAACGGGUGAGUAAUACAUCGGAACGUGCCCUGUAGUGGGGGAUAACUAGUCGAAAGAUUAGCUAAUACCGCAUACGACCUGAGGGUGAAAGUGGGGGACCGCAAGGCCUCAUGCUAUAGGAGCGGCCGAUGUCUGAUUAGCUAGUUGGUGGGGUAAAGGCCUACCAAGGCGACGAUCAGUAGCUGGUCUGGGAGGACGAGCAGCCACACUGGGACUGAGACACGGCCCAGACUCCUACGGGAGGCAGCAGUGGGGAAUUUUGGACAAUGGGCGAAAGCCUGAUCCAGCAAUGCCGCGUGUGUGAAGAAGGCCUUCGGGUUGUAAAGCACUUUUGUCCGGAAAGAAAUGGCUCUGGUUAAUACCUGGGGUCGAUGACGGUACCGGAAGAAUAAGGACCGGCUAACUACGUGCCAGCCGCCGCGGUAA
rnacentral:rRNA from 1 species